UGCAGGGGUAAAAACUCCGGUGGUACAGGAUGGACCCGCGUCUGAUUAGCUGGUUGGUGAGGUAACGGCUCACCAAGGCGACGAUCAGUAGCCGGCUUGAGAGAGUGAACGGCCACAUUGGGACUGAGACACGGCCCAAACUCCUACGGGAGGCAGCAGUGGGGAAUAUUGCACAAUGGGGGAAACCCUGAUGCAGCGACGCCGCGUGAGUGAAGAAGUAUCUCGGUAUGUAAAGCUCUAUCAGCAGGGAAGAAAAUGACGGUACCUGACUAAGAAGCCCCGGCUAACUACGUGCCAGCAGCCGCGGUAAUACGUAGGGGGCAAGCGUUAUCCGGAAUUACUGGGUGUAAAGGGUGCGUAGGUGGUAUGGCAAGUCAGAAGUGAAAACCCAGGGCUUAACUCUGGGACUGCUUUUGAAACUGUCAGACUAGAGUGCAGGAGAGGUAAGCGGAAUUCCUAGUGUAGCGGUGAAUGCGUAGAUAUUAGGAGGACAUCAGUGGCGAAGGCGGCUUACUGGAC
rnacentral:rRNA from 1 species